rnacentral:rRNA from 1 species
AACGAACGCUGGCGGCAUGCCUAACACAUGCAAGUCGAACGAUACCUUCGGGUCUAGUGGCGCACGGGUGCGUACGGCGUGGUAACCUGCCCUUAGGUUCGGAAUCACUCCCCGAAAGGGGUGCUAAUACCUGAUAAUAUCUUAUGACCACAGAGUUUUAGCCUUUGGGUGGGCCCGCGUUGGAUUAGCUAGUUGGUAGGGUAGAAGCCUACCAAGGCGGCGAGCCAUAGCUGGUCUGAGAGGAUGAUCAGCCACACUUGGACUGAGACACGGCGCAGACUUCUACGGGAGGCAGGAGUGGGGAAUAUUGGACAGCGGGCGGCAGGCUGAACCAGCUAUGCCUCGUGAGUGAUGAAGUACGUAGGGUUGUAAAGCUUUUUUACCCGGGAUGAUAAUGACAGUACCGGGAGAAUAAGCUCCGGCUAACUCCGUG